rnacentral:rRNA from 1 species
UACGUAGGGGGCAAGCGUUGUCCGGAAUCAUUGGGCGUAAAGCGCGCGUAGGCGGCCCGAUAAGUCUGCUGUGAAAGUCCAGGGCUCAACCCUGGAAUGCCGGUGGAUACUGUCGGGCUAGAGUUCGGAAGAGGCAAGUGGAAUUCCUGGUGUAGCGGUGGAAUGCGCAGAUAUCAGGAGGAACACCUAUCGCGAAGGCAGCUUGCUGGGACGACACUGACGCUAAGGCGCGAAAGCGUGGGG